rnacentral:misc_RNA from 1 species
UCUCCAUUGGUGAACCAGCGGAGGGAUCAUUAUCGAGUUUAUAACUCCCAAACCCUAUGUGAACUUACCACUUGUUGCUUCGGCGCGCGCUUCGGCGCCGCCGAGGACACUUAAACUCUUUGUUUUUAUAAGCAUUUCUGAGUGGCCGAAAGGCAAAAUACAAAUGAAUCAAAACUUUCAACAACGGAUCUCUUGGUUCUG